rnacentral:rRNA from 1 species
UUCCCCUUCGGGGGACAGGGUGACAGGUGGUGCAUGGUUGUCGUCAGCUCGUGUCGUGAGAUGUUGGGUUAAGUCCCGCAACGAGCGCAACCCUCGACCUUAGUUGCCAGCAUUCAGUUGGGCACUCUAAGGUGACUGCCGGCUAAAAGUCGGAGGAAGGUGGGGAUGACGUCAAAUCAUCAUGCCCCUUAUGACCUGGGCUACACACGUGCUACAAUGGGCGGUACAAAGGGUCGCGAACCCGCGAGGGGGAGCCAAUCCCAAAAAGCCGCUCUCAGUUCGGAUUGCAGGCUGCAACUCGCCUGCAUGAAGCCGGAAUCGCUAGUAAUCGCGGAUCAGCAUGCCGCGGUGAAUACGUUCCCGGGCCUUGU